rnacentral:rRNA from 1 species
GGAAGUAAAAGUCGUAACAAGGUUUCCGUAGGUGAACCUGCGGAAGGAUCAUUGUCGAAACCUGCCCAGCAGAAAGACCCGCGAACAGGUUACAACGUUUGGGGGGCGAGGGGUGCAACGCGCCUUGAACCCCCCCCACGUCGAGAGCGCGUGGCUUUGCCCCGCGUCCUCGGCCACCAACCAACCCCGGCGCGGAAUGCGUCAAGGAAACAUAAAGAAACGAGCUUCUGCUGCGGCCCCAGGUCUGGUGCUUGCCGCAGCAGGAGGUGUCGUGUUUCGUCUAGGUCUAAAAACGACUCUCGGCAACGGAUAUCUCGGCUCUCGCAUCGAUGAAGAACGUAGCGAAAUGCGAUACUUGGUGUGAAUUGCAGAAUCCCGUGAACCAUCGAGUCUUUGAACGCAAGUUGCGCCCGAAGCCAUCCGGCCGAGGGCACGCCUGCCUGGGCGUCACACAUCGUUGCCCCCCUAAGUCCCUUUGACACUGUCCACACGGUGCAAGGGGGACUGCGAGCGGCGGAUGAUGGCCUCCCGUGGCCUCGACUCGCGGUUGGUCUAAAUUUGGGUCCUCGGUCACCCCACUUCGGUGCUUCCAACGCGACCCCAGGUCAGGCGGGGCUACCCGCUGAGUUUAAGCAUAUCAAUAAGCGGAGGA